CUACGGGAGGCAGCAGUGAGGAAUAUUGCACAAUGGGGGGAACCCUGAUGCAGCAACGCCGCGUGGAGGAUGACGCAUUUCGGUGUGUAAACUCCUUUUAUAUGUCAAGAAAAUGACGGUAGCAUAUGAAUAAGCACCGGCUAACUCCGUGCCAGCAGCCGCGGUAAUA
rnacentral:rRNA from 1 species